rnacentral:rRNA from 1 species
GACAGAGGCCUCAAGCGUUAGGCGGAAUCACUGGGCUUAAAGCGUGUGUAGGCGGGUCGUUAAGUACCUUGUGAAAUCCCACGGCUCACCCGUGGAACUGCUGGGUAUACUGGCGAUCUUGGGCCAUUCAGGGGCAACUGGAACAAGCGGUGGAGCGGUGAAAUGCGUAGAUAUCGCUUGGAACGCCAAAGGUGAAAACAGGUUGCUGGGAAUGUG